AACUCUCAGCAAUGGAUAUCUCAGCUCUUGCAUCGAUGAAGAAUAUAGCGAAAUGCGAUACUUGGUGUGAAUUGUAGAAUCCUAUGAACCAUCGAGUCUUUUAACUCAAGUUGUGCCCUAGGCCAUCGAGCUGAGGGCAUGCAUUCCUGGGCAUCA